ensembl:lncRNA
GCUAGCACCAACGCCAGCCCAGGGCUAGCACCAACGCCAGCCCAGGGCUAGCACCAACUUCAGCUCUGGGCUAGCACCAACUUCAGCUCUGUGCUAGCACCAACUUCAGCCCUGGGCUAGCACCAACUUCAGCCCUGGGCUAGCACCAACUUCAGCCCUGGGCUAGCACCAACUUCAGCCCUGGGCUAGCACCAACUUCAGCCCUGGGCUAGCACCAACGCCAGCCCAGGGCUAGCACCAACCUUAGCCCUGGGCUAGCACCAACUCCAGCCCUGGGCUAGCACCAACUUCAGCCCUGGGCUAGCACCAACUUCAGCCCUGGGCUAGCACCAACUUCAGCCCUGGGCUAGCACCAACCUUAGCCCAGGGAUGGCACCAACCUUAGCCCAGGGCAGGCACCAACCUUAGCCCUGGGAUAGCACCAACCUUAGCCUGAGGCUAAGCAAGUGUUCACACUUGUACAUUCUAAAUUGGACUAGCACCAAACUUAGUCCACGGCUAGCACCAAACUUAGUCCACGGCUAGCUGGCCCUACUCAGGAGCAGGGUUAGCACAGACUUUUCGGGGUUAGCCCCAGAAACACAGUGCCAAAAUAGCAAAUGUGAAACAGGGUCACGAACAAUACCUAGAAUACUUACUGUUCAAUCACAAAAGCGGCACUUUCACUUAAUCAGCAUAUGCUGGUGACGCUUGUGAAUCCUCUAAUGUGUUCUGCGCGGUAUUUUAAGAAGUAAAAUUCAUACUAUUUCAUCCUUCCACCUGAGGACAAAAACCCUACUGUAUGCAGGCUGGCUAACUUCUUCUCUCUUAGCCAACUAAAGCUACACAUUCUACAGCUAGAAGGGCGGCAAACACUCCCUUUCCCCCUGUUGUCCUAGCUGUUCUAUUGACGUUUAAUUGUAUAUACUGUAUCCAUGAAAAUAACGUUGCGUGAUUUCGAAUUCGGUCAAAAAAGUUAAUGUCUCAUUAGUUCACAUUCUCUGUUCAGGGGAGGGAUGGAAUUUCAAAAGUGAAAGAUUGUUUUGGACAGGCAGACAACCAAAGUUUAUAAAAAAACUAUCACUAUUGGAAAUCAAAUGCUAGGCUAGAAGCAAGAGGAAAUAAUGUGUUAAUCAAUGUCUUAUUGCUUAUAAUGGGGCCGGUUUAGCAUGGGGCCGGUUUAGCAUGGGGCCAAACUAGCAUGGGGCCAGUCUAGCAGGGCUAGCACCAACCUUAGCCCUGGGAUAGCACCUGGGUCUACCAUGGUCUAGCAUGGGGCCAAACUAGCAUGGAGCCAGUCUAGCAGGGCUAGCACCAACCUUAGCCCUGGGAUAGCACCUGGGUCUACCAUGGUCUAGCAUGGGGCCGGUCUAGCAUGGGGCCAGUCUAGCAUGGGGCCAUUCUAGCAUGGGGCCAGUCUACCCCAAGGCCAGUCUAGCAUGGGGCCGGUCUAGCAUGGGGCCUGUCUAGCAUGGGGCCGGUCUAGCAUGGGGCCAGUCUACCCCAAGGUCAGUCUAGGAUGGGGCCAGUCUACCCCAAGGCCAGUCUAGCAUGGGGCCAGUCUAGCAUGGGGCCGGUCUAGCAUGGGGCCAGUCUACCCCAAAGCCAGUCUAGCAUGGGGCCGGUCUAGCAUGGGGCCAGUCUAGCAUGGGGCCGGUCUAGCAUGGGGCCUGUCUAACAUGGGGCCGGUCUAGCAUGGGGCCAGUCUACCCCAAGGUCAGUCUAGGAUGGGGCCAGUCUACCCCAAGGCCAGUCUAGCAUGGGGCCAGUCUAGCAUGGGGCCAGUCUAGCAUGGGACCAGUCUAGCAUGGGGCAGUCUAGCAUGGGGCCAGUCUAGCAUGGGGCCAAUCUAGCAUGGGGCCAAACUAGCAUGGGGCCGGUCUAGCAUGGGACCGGUCUAGCAUGGGGCCGGUCUAGCAUGGGGCCAGUCUACCCCAAGGCCAGUCUAGCAUGGGGCCAGUUUAGCAUGGGGCCAGUUUAGCAUGGGGCCGGUCUAACAUGGGGCCGGUCUAGCAUGGGGCCAGUCUAGCAUGGGGCCAGUCUAGCAUGGGGCCAGUCUGGCAUGGGGCCGGUCCAGCAUGGGGCCGGUCUAGCAUGGGACAGUCUAGCAUAGGCCAGUCUACCCCAAGGUCAGUCUAGCAUGGGGCCAGUCUAGCUUGGGGCCAGUCCAUCAUGGGGCCAGUCUACCCCAAGGCCAGUCUAGUAUGAGACCAGUCUAGUAUGGGACCAGUCUACCCCAAGGCCAGUCUAGUAUGGGUCCAGUCUAGUAUGGGACCAGUCUACCCCAAGGCCAGUCUAGUAUGGGACCAGUCUAGUAUGGGACCAGUCUACCCCAAGGCCAGUCUAGCAUGGGGCAAGUCUAGCCCAGGGCUAGUCUAGCCCGAGGUCAGUCUAGCCCGGGGUCAGUCUAGCAUGGGGCCAUCUAGCAUUGGGCCAGUCUAGCAUGGGGCCAGUCUGUCCCGGGGCCAGUCUACCCCAAGGCCAGUCUAGCAUGGACCAGUCUAGCAUUUGGCCAGUCUAGCAUGAGGCAAGUCUAGGGUACCAGUGGGUCAUUCUAUAAACUAGGGUACCAGUGGGUCAUUCUAUAAACUAGGGUACCAGUGGGUCAUUCUAUAAACUAGGGCACCAGUGGGUCAUUCUAUAAACCAGGGUCCCAAUGGGUCUCUAUAAACUAGGGUACCAGUGGGUCUCUAUAAACUAGGAUCCCAGUGGGUCUCUAUAAACUAGGGAACCAGUGGGUCUUUCUAUAAACUGGGGUCCCAGUGGGUCAUUCUAUAAACUAGGGUCCCAGUGGGUCAUUCUAUAAACCAGGGUCCCAAUGGGUCUCUAUAAACUAGGGUACCAGUGGGUCUCUAUAAACUAGGAUCCCAGUAGGUCUCUAUAAACUAGGGUCCCAGUGGGUCUUUCUAUAAACUAGGGUCCCAGUGGGUCUCUAUAAACUAGGGUCCCAGUGGGUCUCAAUAAACUAGGGUCCCAGUGGGUCUUUCUAUAAACUAGGGUCCCAGUGGGUCAUUCUAUAAACUAGGGUCCCAGUGGGUCUCAAUAAACUAGGGUCCCAGUGGGUCUUUCUAUAAACUAGGGUACCAGUGGGUCUUUCUAUAAACUAGGGUACCAGUGGGUCUCAAUAAACUAGGGUCCCAGUGGGUCUUUCUAUAAACUAGGGUACCAGUGGGUCAUUCUAUAAACUAGGGUACCAGUGGGUCAUUCUAUAAACUAGGGUACCAGUGGGUCUUUCUAUAAACUAGGGUACCAGUGGGUCAUUCUAUAAACUAAUGCACCAACGAGCAUUUCUUGUAGUGAACUGUUUGGAGCGGUUACUAAGUCAUUAAUAAUGAUUUGCCAUUUAAUUUCAGGUGAAUACAUUACGAAGUUAAAGGGGGAACAUAGAUACAUUCAAUAUAAUUCAUGAGUUGAAUCAAAACCUGUGUUUAACGUCUUUCAUGGAUUUGAGAAAUAUUGUGUAACACAAAACCCUAUUAUAUUGAUGAUACUGCUGUUUGUUGUUAUUUCAUAUACAAAGCAUUUUAACAAUUGAAUUACACAUUGACCUUGAUCCUGGGAAAUUAUUGGAUAUUGCUUGUCAGACUCUUUUUAGUGUGGAGAUCUGGGAAGUGGACUGUGACCUCAUAACAUUUAGUAUCUUCUAAUGUUACAGUGUGAAAACAGUUUUCAUGGGCACACAUAUCCAAAACAAUGUACUGUAUGUGAUUACAAAAUCCUAUGCUUUUUAAC